CACUGCAGAGUGAAUGAAAGACAAACUGACUAGACUGAGGAACAGAGACAAAUCAUACGAAGAGUUCAUGAUGACAUUUACUACUGCGUUUUUACUGAUGAUAAUAGGACUGACAGGUGUUCAGAGUCAGACAUUGACCGAGUCUGGACCAGUGGUUAAAAAGCCUUUAGAAGCCCACAAACUGACCUGUACAGCCUCUAGUUUAGACAUAAAUGGCUACUGGAUGGCAUGGAUCAAACAGGCUCCUGGUAAAGGACUAGAAUUUGUGGCAGCGCACUAUGACAGUAGCAGUAUUGCCUACUCUCAGUCUGUUCAGGGUCGGUUCACCAUCUCCAGAGACAACAGCAAGAAGCAGGUGUAUCUCCAGAUGAACAGCUUGAAGACUGAAGACUCUGCUGUUUAUUAUUGUGCUAGAGACACAGUGACACAGGAGGCUGCAGCACUGUACAAAAACUGGUCAAAACUGAUCUCAGUGUAAAACUCUCUGUGAGUCUAUGACCCAUUCUCUGUCCCCAUCAACCACAUGUCAUCAACAACACACAAACUGGUCAACACAUACCAUACUCUCACAGACUAAUAAUGAAAUAUUAAAAACAUAAAACAUUUGAUAAGAAAAUAAAUAACUCACAAGUAGACAUUUAA